CUUAUAUUGAAGUGGGGCUGUACCUGUGAACUGAACAACCCCCAAAUUGUGGAGAUCGUCGUGGGCAGCACGGGGCUGGAUCCAGUUUUUCCUUUAGGAAACUCAGGAAAACAAUGGGUGUCCCAGCCAGCCAGAGAAGGAUUUGAAGGCGCCUUUCAAGAUAAAUGUUUGCAAAGCAUUCCUACCACCCUGGAAUUUGUUCCAUCCCUCGGAUCAUCCUGGUGCCUCCUCUGAAUUUGCUCCAGCAGCUCCACGUCCUUCCCGUGCUGAGCCCCAGGGCUGGGGCAGCUGAGCACAGGAGCAGAAUUCCCAAAUAUUCUUGGCUUUGUGGUGUGUGGCUUAAAAGCAGAGAGUGCUGGGGUUUUACCUCCAAGGAAGGUGUUCAGGAAUGAUGCUCCUUGUGAGCUGUCUGCCUGGGAACAGCAGCUGUGAUCAAGCUGGCUUUGUUUGAGCCAGACAGGCAGGCAGCUCCUUCCCAGCAAACAGCAAAUUCCUGAGCAAAUAGGUCAGGGAAUCUUAAAAAGAGAAAAGAUCUCCAAAAGAAAGAAAAAACCCCAUUUCAUCUCCCAAACUGUGCCACCUCCAUCUCUGUGGCCAUGGCAGAGAAGUGAGCAGGAACUUCAAAAAUGCAGAUUUACUCUCCACACUUCAGUGCUUUUCUCUAAAGACGUUGGUGUGAGGUGU